UACGGAAGGCAGCAGUGGGGAAUAUUGCACAAUGGGCGCAAGCCUGAUGCAGCCAUGCCGCGUGUAUGAAGAAGGCCUUCGGGUUGUAAAGUACUUUCAGUCGUGAGGAAGGUGUUAAGGUUAAUAACCUUAGCAAUUGACGUUAGCGACAGAAGAAGCACCGGCUAACUCCGUGCCAGCAGCCGCGGUAAUACGGAGGGUGCGAGCGUUAAUCGGAAUUACUGGGCGUAAAGGGCACGCAGGCGGUUAAUUAAGUUGGAUGUGAAAUCCCCGGGCUUAAACCUGGGAAUGGCAUUCAAGACUGGUUAGCUAGAGUCUUGUAGAGGGGGUAGAAUUCCAUGUGUAGCGGUGAAAUGCGUAGAGAUGUGGAGGAAUACCGGUGGGCGAAAGGCGGGCCCCCUGGGACAAAAGGACUGACGCUCAUGUGCGAAAAGCGUGGGGAGCAAAACAGGGAUUAGAUA
rnacentral:rRNA from 1 species